rnacentral:rRNA from 1 species
UUCGUAGGUGGUGCGGCAAGUUGGAAGUGAAAUCUCUGGGCUUAACCCAGAGGCUGCUUUCAAAACUGCCGCGCUCGAGUGCGAGAGAGGUCAGUGGAAUUGCAGGUGUAGCGGUGAAAUGCGUAGAUAUCUGCAGGAACACCCGUGGCGAAGGCGGCUGACUGGAUCGCAACUGACACCGAGGAACGAAAGCUAGGGGAGCAAACAGGAUUAGAUACCCUGGUAGUCCUAGCCCUAAACCAUCAGAACUUGGGGUGGCCCGCGUAGGCGGGUCGUCCCGUAGCUAACGCGUUAAGUUCUGCGCCUGGGGAGUACGGUCGCAAGACUGAA